CUUUCUUUGCUGGCGACCGGCGCACGGGUGAGUAACACGUAUCCAACCUGCCCUUUACUCGGGGAUAGCCUUUCGAAAGAAAGAUUAAUACCCGAUAGCAUAAUGAUUCCGCAUGGUUUCAUUAUUAAAGGAUUCCGGUAAAGGAUGGGGAUGCGUUCCAUUAGGUUGUUGGUGGGGUAACGGCCCACCAAGCCUUCGAUGGAUAGGGGUUCUGAGAGGAAGGUCCCCCACAUGGAACUGAGACACGGUCCAA
rnacentral:rRNA from 1 species